UACAGAGGUCCCGAGCGUUGUUCGGAAUUACUGGGCGUAAAGGGCUCGUAGGCGGCCAACUAAGUCGGACGUGAAAUCCCUCAGCUUAACUGGGGAACUGCGUCCGAUACUGGAUGGCUUGGAUUUGGGAGAGGGAUGCGGAAUUCCAGGUGUAGCGGUGAAAUGCGUAGAUAUCUGGAGGAACACCGGUGGCGAAGGCGGCAUCCUGGACCAAUAUUGACGCUGAGGAGCGAAAGCCAGGGGAGCAAACAGG
rnacentral:rRNA from 1 species